rnacentral:rRNA from 1 species
CCUACGGGAGGCAGCAGUGAGGAAUAUUGGUCAAUGGGCGCGAGCCUGAACCAGCCAAGUAGCGUGAAGGAUGACUGUCCUACGGGUUGUAAACCUCUUUUAUCAAGGAAUAAAGUGAGGCACGUGUGCCUUUUUGUGUGUACUUUAUGAAUAAGCAUCGGCUAACUCCGUGCCAGCAGCCGCGGUAAUACGGAGGAUCCGAGCGUUAUCCGGAUUUAUUGGGUUUAACGGGAGCGUAGAUGGGUUGUUAAGUCAGUUGUGAAAGUUUGCGGCUCAAACGUAAAAUAGCAAUUGAUACUGUCAGCCUUGAGUGCGCUAGAGGUAGGCGGAAUGCGUGGUGUAGCGGUGAAAUGCUUAGAUAUCACGCAGAACUCCGAUUGCGAAGGCAGCAUACUA